CUGGACCAGGUUGCCCAGAGAAGGUGUGGAUGCCCCAUUCCUGGAAGUGUUCAAAGCCAGGUUGGAUGGGGCUUUGAGCAACCUGGUCAAGUGGAAGGUGUCCCUGUCCAUGGCAGGGGCAUUGGAAUUAGAUGAUCUUUAAAGUCCCUUCCAAUCCCAA